rnacentral:rRNA from 1 species
CCCUUAGAUGUCCUGGGCCGCACGCGCGUUACACUGAUGCAUUCAACGAGCUUAUAACCUUGGCCGAGAGGCCUGGGCAAUCUUGUUAACGUGCAUCGUGAUAGGGAUAGAUUAUUGAAAUUAUUAAUCUUGAACGAGGAAUUCCUAGUAAACGCAGAUCAUCAAUCUGCAUUGAUUACGUCCCUGCCCUUUGUACACACCGCCCGUCGCACCUACCGAUUGGAUGGUCCGGUGAAGCCUCGGGAUUGUGGUUCUUGCCGCUUUAUUGUGGCGUGACCGCGAGAACUUGUCUAAACCUUAUAAUCUAGAGGAAGGUGAAGUCGUAACA